rnacentral:rRNA from 1 species
UACGUAGGGGGCUAGCGUUGUCCGGAUUUAUUGGGCGUAAAGAGCGUGUAGGCGCCAGGUAGGUCCGCUGUGAAAGUCCGAGGCUCAACCUCGGAAUGUCGGCGGAAACCCUCUGGCUAGAGUCCGGAAGAGGAGAGUGGAAUUCCCGGUGUAGCGGUGAAAUGCGCAGAUAUCGGGAAGAACACCCGUGGCGAAGGCGGCUCUCUGGACAGUUCCUGACGCUGAGGCACGAAGGCCAGGGGAGCAAACGGGG